AUGACUAUGGUGAAAUAGGUAAACACAUUUAGUUUAGGUCUAAAAAUUUAAGGGUUCAAUUCCCUUUAGUCAUAU
rnacentral:tRNA from 1 species